UACGAAGGGAGCUAGCGUUGCUCGGAAUCACUGGGCGUAAAGGGUGCGUAGGCGGGUCUUUUAAGUCAGGGGUGAAAUCCUGGAGCUCAACUCCAGAACUGCCUUUGAUACUGAAGAUCUUGAGUCCGGAAGAGGUGAGUGGAACUCCGAGUGUAGAGGUGAAAUUCGUAGAUAUUCGGAAGAACACCAGUGGCGAAGGCGGCUCACUGGUCCGGUACUGACGCUGAGGUGCGAAAGCGUGGGGAGCAAACAGG
rnacentral:rRNA from 1 species